AUGAACGCUAGCGGCAGGCUUAACACAUGCAAGUCGAGGGGCAUCGAGAGUAGCAAUACUUGUCGGCGACCGGCGCAAGGGUGCGUAACACGUGAGCAACAUACCCGUUUCAGGAGGAUAACCGGAGGAAACUCUGCCUAAUACUCCAUGACAUCAUCAAACGGCAUCGUUUGAUGAUUAAAGAUUUAUCGGAAACGGCUUGGCUCGCGGGACAUUAGCUCGUUGGUGAGGUAACGGCUCACCAAGGCGACGAUGUCUAGGGGUUCUGAGAGGAAGGUCCCCCACACUGGAACUGAGACACGGUCCAGACUCCUACGGGAGGCAGCAGUGAGGAAUAUUGGACAAUGGUCGGAAGACUGAUCCAGUCAUGCCGCGUGAAGGUUACUGUCCUAUGGAUAUUAAACUUCUUUUGUAUGAGAGCAAUAAGGUGCACGUGUGCACCGAUGAGAGUAUCAUACGAAUAAGCAUCGGCUAACUCCGUG
rnacentral:rRNA from 1 species